CUCUCCAGCAGGCCAGCCUGCUGCACGCGUUCCUGCACAGACACUGUCGCUGCUGCAGCAUUUCCUCUGUCCCAACAGAGGCAUCACAAAUCUCCGAGAGGAACGCAUCCACUUCCUGGCCUGGUAGAGCGGAGAGCAGAGGUGGGCCCAGGAGUCCAAGAACUUCCCCUAAGGCUGCUAGUCGCACCCAUCUCUUGAGCAGAGACCCAAGAGGGCAGGACAGGAAGAAUGGAAGUGAGAUUUGGCCCCGGUCAUGUUUUCCAAAGUGCUGACAUCAGGAAAAUAAUAGAAGUUAACGCAGAUAUGGGGCUGCCACUGAGGAGAGAGAAGACUGAAAGAAGCAUAUAGAUAAAAGAUUAUCUGAGUAGGCUGAACCAUCGGUGAAAAGGAGGCCAAGCAUCUCAAAAAUAGGACACGUGAGAGUAUGGAGCCAAUGUGACACUCAGAUUUGACACAUACAGAAGCGUGAAAAACUCUUGUGUGACUGGGAUAGCUCCUCUGCAAUGAGAACAUGCCUGGGAUAAUGUACUGAAAAGAUGUGAGAAAUACAUGAAGCAGAGUCCAGUCAUCCCAGCCAAGAACCAGCUGUGAAUGUAACCGCAUGACUUUGAGGCAAGUCCAGACCAAGAACAAAGAACCACUGGUCUUAAAGACAGACCUGCAGAUUCCUGAGCUAAAUAAAAGUUUAUUGUUGAAAGGCACUGAGUUGUUUUUG
rnacentral:lncRNA from 1 species